GCCUGCGAACCAGCGGCCGGCGUGACUUACGGUUCUGCGGCGCCCCGGGCCUGGGCGCUGCCGGCCGCCGCUGGCCGGGGAGGGGGCGCCCCCCGGCCGGCGGCCCCCGAGAUGCACGCUUUCGGGCCAAGACAACCCCAGGGAGCCCUUGCCCAGCAGCCAGUCCACACAGGCAAGAUGCUGCCCCAGGGAAAACUCCACACCAGAAAGCAUUCCCCUCUUGCUGGAAAGAAGGGCAACACAGAAGGGGUGGGAGCCAAUGAACCUGAGGGAAGCCAUGGAAGAGACAAGGACUUCCCUCGCCUGCUUACCCAAAGGUCCACCUUCUGAAUACUGGAACCCCCUUUUCACCAGCAGCUCGCAGGACCACUACCUACACCUAAUUCCUGCUACCUUCAGGGCCAGGAGACUCUUGUUGAUUUCUGCGCCCUCCAUGCGGGUCUGCCGGUCAGCACUGGAAGUGUCUGCACCUCGCUCGUUCCCUGCCAGGUCCACCAAAGAGAACUUGCCAUGCAUUCUCCCUUUGGCUCGAAGAAGAAUCUGGAAGCAGGCGUGGGAGCGGGAAGAGUUGGAGUUGGCAAACGUCUGCCCAGAAGUCCUGUGGCAAAGGAGGGCAGAGAAAGUUUAUGAGCUUUUGGGGUCAACAGCCCCCAUGGCACCCCAGAGUCCAAACCACCUCAGUCCAUAGCAAUAGGUUCUUUGGGACCCAGUGUUGCACCAAGAGAAGGUUCUCCAUGCCAGCCCUGAAUACUCACAUGUGUCUUGCCACUUCCUGUCUGGCCAUAUGCAAAACAAGUUGCCUUCCCACCUUCAAAGAUUGUCUGUACCAGUGGCCUUGCAGUGAACCUAGGUGAAAGGAUGGAGAAUAAGGGGAGAACUAUUUGUAUCUGUUCUGAAAAUGUGCUCCUUGGAACACGGUCCUGCUGCCCUUCCACUGCAGAGCUCCCAGGGUCCUUGAUUCCUCCUUCCAAGCACAGCACUGUUCUCCUGACUCAAUGGUACCACCUGACCCCAACCCAUUUACAAAUCUCAAAUACUCUUAUACAACUGGUAUGUGUGUGGGGGGUUGCUGCACUGACCUGCCAGGAGCAAGCUGAUGGCCCACACUCUAAGCCAUGCAUGCAGCCCUUUCUCUGACCCUGGAGACACAAGAUGAAAGUCUGGGGGCCUAAAAUAUUUUAGGCUUUGUGGACCACAUAGGUCUCUGUUACUUUUUUCUUUUUUUAAAUAACCCUUUAGAAACAUAAAAACUAUUCUUGGUUUGAGAGCCAUAUAAAAAGGAGUCAUGGGCCAGCCUGUGGCUCACUCAGGAGAGUGCUGUGCUGAUAACACCAAGGCCAAGGGUUCGGAUCCUAUAUAGGGAUGGCCGGUUCACUCACUGGCUGAGCAUGGUGCUGACAACACAAAGCCAAGGGUUAAGAUCCCCUUACCGGUCAUCUUUUUUAAAAAAAAACAAAACAAAAACGGAGUCAUGAGCCAGAUUUGGCCUACUGGCCAUAGUUUGUCAACCUCUGCUCUAGAGCAGUGUUGUCCAAUAGAAUUUUCUGUGAUAGAAGUGUUCCUUACUGUGCUGUCCAACUGCCUACUGAUCACUUGAAAUGUGGCCAGUGUGACUGAGGAACUGAAUUUUUAAUUUUUUGGUAGCUGGCUGAUAUGGGGAUCCAAACCCUUGACCUUGGUGUUAUAACAGCAUGCUCUAACCAACUAAGCUAACCGGCCAGCCCUCAAUUUUUAAUUUUAUUUAACUUUUAUUUAGAGCCAUAUGAGACUAGAGGGUGCCAUAUUGGACAAAGCAUAUCUAGAGUUCCCUGUCUUCUAAGCGCAGGGGCUACAGAGGUGGCUGCAUAAGACACUGGAGCCUGCCCAGCCCUGCUUCAGAGCGUAGAGGGUAAUAACUCACUUGUGAUCCACUCUAGAAUGGGCUGCUAAUGCUGCAAAAGGGGAUGUGGCAGGCCCCAAAUGAGGCCUUCCUUGUGCUAGGAGCCAGAGCUCUGAACUCUGAUGGCUGACCCAUAGAAAACACAAGAGGAGGCCAGGAAGGGCCUCAGAACUCAGCAUGUCUGUGAGUAGUGUCCUGCAUCAAAAAGGAGUAGGUGGGCAGGAGGGAGACAAGAAGAAGAAAAAAAGAGGCAAGGGACUAACCUGUAAACGACUUCAUUUGAAGCUGUUUCAUCAAAUGCAAAGUCAAAGCAGAACACUUGGUUCUCCAGAUACUUUGUUAAGUCCACUUUUAAUUUGGGUUCAUGUACCAAGAGAAGACACUUGCUAGGAAUGGAGAUCACAUCAGUUUCUUUCUUGGCCAGUUCUGCAGAAGGAGAGUAGUACAAGGAGUGCUCUCUGGAUACAGAGGGACCCUCAAUGGGAAGUCUGUCUGAUUGAACAGGGCUUACCUUGUUUAUUCAGUGGACGUUUUCUAACACAGACACAUAUCCUGUGUUCUUCAGUCUGCAAAAGGACAAGAGGAGACAACCAACCAGCAAAGAGUCAGAACAAUGUCAAGAGCUUGUCUAGACCCCUCCCCUUCCAAUCCUAUAUCUGGCCCAGUCAGGGACCAACAUUCCCUCCCCUUAGCUACUCCAGAGCACAAGAAAGUAACUCUGAUUUUUUCCCCCAGUUUUCUCACUUUGCUGCCUCCAGGAAGUUCAGCACCACUUUCGAGAUUAUUAGUAAGAAUCUAGCCAACCUAUGUAGUGGGAGUGGGGCACAGUUUGUAAAGAUCAGACCUUCUCAAUCUUGGCCUCACUAGCUCCAGCCCACCAAAGAGUAUCAAAAACAAACUCAAGGGUGAGUGAAGAUUUCUGCAUGCUCUCAUUCCUGUAAAGGGAAGUUUUCUGUCUCUCAACUGUAUACUUACUCAAGGAAGAGAGGUAGAGGUCCUCUGGAUUUACUUACAGGAUCAGUCAUAGUAAGUGGAUGACACUCCAAAGUAGCCCGAAAUUCUUUAAUCAUUCGGGCAAAUUCCCAGUUUGGAAAGCUGCUUUCAUACUCCUAUUUGAGACAGAGUAAAAAAGACCAAAGUAUAAAAGACUGUUAAGAUGUAAGUGCUCUCAGGUCUCAGUGCUAAGUGGUAGCAACAGUUCUUUGUAUGCACAGGACCCCUCAUAGCUGACAAAACCCCCACCUUGGCUCUGGGCUGAGAACCCAGGUACAAAGCCCUGGGGAACAGAGAUUAGCAGGAGGGCCUAGGCAUGCACCAAACCACCCUGGGAACGAGGACUAUUGCCACUGUUCCACAUCUUAAGAGCCACAGCAGCAGGCUGGGCUUCCCCAGAGCAAUUAACCCAACUAUGGGGACUCUAUUGCAAUUUCCCCCCAUAUCCUGCCCCUGGCAAUAUACACAACUGUGAGGAGAGUGGGGGUAAGCAGGCAGCUGUGCCCAGCAGCCCCUCUGGCUGUUGCAUCCUGAGAGCAUGUAAUAGGUCCGGGUACUAGACAAUAAGCAUUAUAUAUUCCUCAUCUGAAGGCCUUCAGAAAAUUUUCUAAUUUGUUCUCUGAAUCAUGAUGAGAAAACAGUUAAACUUCCUGGAUAUCAGAAUUGGAGCCUCAGACAUGUUGGGGCCCCACUGUGUCUCUGUUGCCUGUAGGGUUUCAGUUAAGGAUGCCUUUCUAAAAACCCCUACCCAAAUCUCCCAAGAAAGGUACCUGAGCUCGCUUCAUUCUCAUUUCAGAGUUCUGGGCCCUCUUCUCUUCUCUCUUGUUCUUCAUUUUUUCCAUUUCCUUCACAAUACAUGAUUUCCUCCGAACUAGGUGAUUUAAAAUAAAAAAAAAAAAGCCCAUUCUUUUCCCUGUCUAGGCCAGCCUUCUCUUCUCUGGCAGUUUUAUUGAGUCCUGGGCCUUUCCCAGGAACAGGUCUUCUCUAGAUCCUUGCUCUUAAAUCACUAAAUGAAUAUAUACAAGGAGAAGCAGCAAUAGAUGUGACUCUUGGGAUGAACAAGUCCACAAAGUAAUGGCUUGACUAAUAUGAGAUCAGAGUAGUGAUAAUAGCACUCCAGUUCUAACCUGAACUCUCUGUAUGCCUCUGUGGCUUUUUUCUCAACACCAUAAAGAGGUAAGACAGUCCCUGCUUGGUCUUGAUAGUCACUCUAGGCUGAUCUUCAGGUGUUGGCCAAGAUCUUACCUGUGACAAUACCUCAACUAUGUCAGAGGGCUUCUGCCCAAUCUUUCACCUCUUGUGAAAGAUUGAUUCCAUGGUCACAGGAAAACAUGCCCCAUGUGACAAACAGGGUUUGAACUCAGCUAAGGCAGGCUAGGUUUGGGACAGGAUGUUAACCACUUGUCCUGUGCUAGGAGCAGAAUAGCAGGCAGCCCAGCAUGUCUACCUGAGCUCACAGGGUUUGCAGAAGAGCUGCCUCGGAUGGAAUGGACUUUCUCUUCCACCUCCUCGCUGACCACCGUCAAUGGUAUUUCAGCCACAGCAGGGCAGGAGGGCCUAGGGGGGCCAGCUGUGGGGGAAUAAGAGUCACUGGAGAAGCAAACAGGUAUUUUGCAGCUGUCCUCAUCUGAGCCCUAGUGGGUCAUGGGCCGGGAGGAGGGCUACUGCCUGCCAGCUUGGCCAGGGCUCAGACUUUUGAGCAGGUAUGAGCAGAGCUUGGGCUUUUCCCUUCACCUUAGCCCACAGCCUGAAGUCAACCACCCUCUUUGCAAGGGCUGGCUCCAGGGGUCAGGUAUCUUAAAAGGUGUGUAAAUAGUACAGUAUGGGCUUUGCCAUGAAGGGAAAAGCCUUUGGAGGCCUGAACUUUCCAGACUUAUCCAAGCGUAGGUUCUCAGGCCAGGCCAAGCCUUUCUACCCAUUUAGGAGAAAAGCCAGAACUUUCUGACUUCUCCAAAGCCUCGGAAACCCAGGUGGUUAAUAGGAGCAAAGACUGAAAAGCCAGGGAUGACAGGAAACUUGGGCAACAAUUAACUGUAUUGAUUCAGUGGAAAAGUACAAUCCAUAUCACCUCAUUAAUUCCCAUACCUAGAGAAAUGAAAUGAUCCUUUCAUUUAUUUACCUUCAUCUUAUUAGAGUUGAGUUUGAUACGCGUAAAGUGUAAUGACUGUAUAUCUUAUAAAAUCUGCACACACUUUACAUAUUUACUAAAGGUUAAUAAUUCACUUAAAAAUAUUUUUGAAAUUCCAUUUAUAUAAAGUACACAAAAAGAAAAAGCUGUAAGAAGUCAGGAUUGUAAGGGCCAGCCCGUGGCUUACUUGGGAGAGUGUGGUGCUGACAACACCAAGUCCAGGGUUAAGAUCCCCUUACCGGUCACCUUUUUUUAAAAAAAAGAAGUCAGGAUUGUAGGUACCCCACAAAAAUUGUAGGGGCCUAGGACCUGGAAGUAUGCCUGAGUGGGACUUUUGGGGUGCUGGUAAUGCUCUGAUUUGGCUAUUAUAUGAAUGUGUUCAGUUUUUGAAAAUUCAUUGAACUAUGUACUCAAUGAUAUGUGCGCUUUUCUGUAUAUAUAUAUUAUGUUUCAAUUAAGUUUUAAAGAAGGUAAAAUGUAGGGCUGGCUGGAUAGCUCAGUUGGUGAGAGCAUGGUGUUCUAACCAGGGUCAAGGGUUUGGAUCCCCAAACGAGCCAGCUGCCAAAAAAAAAAAAAAGGUUCAGUGACAUUUCCAUCUAAGGAAAUCAUGGCUGGGGCAGAACAGAAUAGUACUGAAGCCAGGGGAGUGGGGGAAUCCUUGGACCUUCUAGCACAGAGACAGGCGAUAUAUAUGGAGCCUGCUCUAGGGCCUCAAACAAGGAGAACACAUUCAUUACUCACUGGGAACUGAAAACUGCCUGCGGGAGUUUGCAGGUGCAGGCAGCUCCACCUCCAUAUUAUUCUCCCGAGUGCUGAUGUGAAUCUCUGAGAGGGUGGACAUGCGACUGGAGCGGCUUCGAAGACCUGAAGAACCAAGGGCAGCAGCCAAUCAGUGCUGCAUGAUAGGAGGGCUGACACGGGCAGGAGGAGAGUGGACAGGGGCAAACCUCCAAGGUUCUGCACAAGCUGAGAUGGGACCCAGCCGCCAAAAAAGGAGCCAACCAACACCCCUUUCCUUCCAUCCAGGGAAAGGAAAAAACUAAACCAAGUACCAGUGACCUCAAAACUUAUUUGUUCAAAUCCUGCAAAUCCAAGAGCUCCUGAGGGCAAAGAUAUCUUGAGUAAAUGGAGGGAACUACAGCCAAUCUGAAAUAAUUUCUGGAGAGACAGACCUAAUCCAAGUCCUUGAGAAAAAGUAUUAUUAAUAUUUUUAUUUUUUUUGGCAACUGACCAGUAAGGGAAUCUGAACCCUUGACCUUGGUGUUAUCACCCCAUGCUCUAACCAACUGAGCUAACCUGCCAGCUUAUUAAUCUUAACAACAUCAGUAUCUACCAUUGUAAAAUCUUCCUGUGUCUCAAAACAACAUAAGGUAAAUAUUGGUACCCUCAUUUCAUGGAAGAGGACAUUAAGGCUCAGAGACAUUAAGUAACUUGUCCAAUAUCACUCAACUGGUAAGUGCCAGAGCCAGGAUGUGAACCCAGGGCUGUCAGAUUACAAAGCCUGGACUUUCUUCAUUGUUCCAAGAUGCUUUACAAAGCCAGGUCUGGGCCACAUCAGCAGAAACCCAUGGGAUCAGCUAUACUGAUUUUCUGGACUCUUAAAGAAUGCUAAAGUGAGAGAAACAAUUUAUACUUUAAUUCUUGUCAAUUUCUAUCCAUCUAUGUAAUUCCUCUCCAUAAGGGAGAGACAAUUUGUCACCUAUGAAAUACAUCAAGUCAUAAAUUUGGAAACAGAACAUAGCGUCACAUAGGCAAACAUCAACUUGUACUGAAUUUCUGAGCAUCAGAGGUUUAAGUUGAUGGCUCUAUAUAAUUCAUGUCUUUCAUAAAGAGCAUGAAUUAUUAUAAUUUUCAUAUUUCCCAAAUGAUUUGUAAUGUUGUGUUUCAUUUCUACUGUUGAAUAGCAUGCACAUUUAUGAAGAUUUUUUUCCAUUAAAAGGAGCUGUGAAGGGCUGGCUGGUUAGCUCAGUUAGUUAGAGUGAGGUGCUGAUAACACCAAGGUCAAGAGUUCGGAUCUCCUUACCCACUAGCCACCAAAAAAUAAAAAUAAAGGAGCUGUGGCAAUAUCCCUUGGGGACAGGAAUGUGAAAUGGAGCCACUGCCAUUUCCAUCUCUCCUGCAGGCCCAUAUGCUACAACCAUCAAGAGAGGGCCAAUACCCCACCACCCAGGCCCAAAUCAAGCUCACAAUGGCACCACCUUCCACCCUGGGAAGUGCCAGAGCUGGGAUGUGAACCCAGGGCUGUCAGAUUACAAAGCCUGGACUUUCUUCACUGUUCUAAGAUGCUUUACAAAGCCAGGUCUGGGACUGUAGUCACAGUCUACCGUAGCCAAAGUAGGUUUACACUUACUACUUCUGCAGGGAAAGCCAACCCUCCCCUAGACCAUGAGGCAUUGCCGUUAUUCUCCUCAGCCCCUCUGCCCCCCUGGUCUCCACAGCACCAUCAACUGCACUUCCAAACAGCCCAGACCUAGAUGUCUGCUUUCUUCACAGCCUCACUCCAAGGCACACUGCUCCCCUGAGGAGGCUGAGCCCUGAGGAAAGAAAACAAGCCUGCCAGUAGCUGAUUCUCCUAACACCAGGCUCUGGAGUCUACAGGAAAGGCUUCUAGGCCGGUGAGCAAAUUUCCCAAAUGCACCAGGUCCCUUAGAGGUUGGCCAAUAGCUGUAGGUUGGAUUCUUUCUCACUGAGAAAGAUUCUUGGAACACAGGGUAGGAUUCGGCCCAUAUAGAAGCCACCUGCUAAAGUGGACCAGUGAGUCUACUUCACAGCUUCCACAACUUUGAGCACCAGGAAUAUCAUUCCUGGCACAAGCUCUAUGACAAGAAGCCAGUGGAAAUCCAUUUACCUUCUUUUGGAGCAGGAAUUUUGGAGUUGACUGAUCUGCGUUUUUGUUUCUGAAAAACAAAACAAACGACAAUAUAUGGCUCUUAUCAAUGCUCACAGGCCUAUUCUGGGCCCAGGUGCUGUGCUGAAGUCCCAGGUAGUCCCAGAAAACAAAUCAGCAAAGAGCCAACAAGCAAAGUAGCACUGGCUGCAGCCAAAUGACAGGCACCUACCUGGACUGUUACAUUUUCCUGCAGGGGCAGAUUGUCUUUUGGGUGUAAGGGAAGUAGCUGUAAGAGCUCUGGGUUUAUUGCAGCCACAUCAUCAAAAUCAACCUGCAAGGAGCAAGUAAAAGUUUCAGUGAAACAGUUUGUUCAACUCAAAUGCAUCUCUAGGGACUGGUGUUGGUUAGAGCAUGGUGUUAUAACACCAAGGUCAAGGUCAAGGGUUCAGAUCCCCUUUGGACAGUCACCAAAACAAAUGAAAAAAACCCAAAUGCAUCUCUAAAACCAACGCUACCCCUAGAUUCAGACUUACCAACUUUAAGUUCCACUAAGAACUAAUAGCUAUAAAACAAAUAAUUAUUCCUUAGUAAUGGUUUACCAUCUAGAUGGAUGUUUCUAAUUUCCAAGCCAAUGGUAGAUGUCAGUGAUGAGAAUGAGGUGAAGAGGAAGGCAAACAGGCAGGCAAACAGGCAGGUAGUUCACGGUAGAUCUAGGCCACUUGGCUCCCGAACUGUUCUGCUGGGCAGUGGAGUACUGCUGGGCACAGCCCCCUAAGCACCUCUUGCUAGCUGACACAAAGGAGGAACUGAGUUCUAAUUGUCUGGUGAUAUUUAAAAUGGAGGGCCCUUCAGGAUCUUAUGGGCAGGGACAAGUUCCCGACAGAUGCUACCUAACCCUAAGUCUACCUACAUUUUCUGUUGGGCCCAGAAACUUCUUCCCCAGUCACAGCUUCCUGCUCAUGCCUUCCCUAUUUCCUGCUCAUGCCCACAGUGAGGUCACAAUUCUAGAUUUACAUCAUCAGUGCCCUGCAACCCUCUAGGAAUAACUCAAAAGUUCACCAGCAUAACUUCACAGCAGGUUCAAACACACCAAAUUAGUCCCAACUUGGUUAUAUGUAUUUCAGAAUGUGACAGAGCUGAAUUGUGUACUACAGGGUGAGGGUUUUAUGCAACUUCUAUUUAUUAACUGGCCUAUUCAAACAUUUAUUAAGUACGAGUAAGACAGUAGCAUGCAGGGGGAAGGUUGCUGUCAGCCGUCCUGCUAUAGGGAAAGGCAUGGAAGGCUGAGGAGUGAUACCGCUUGUUUUGCAGGCUACAAGGGGGUCCCAUGUGUGUGGUACGGUUCCAUGGAAGUUCUUGUUUGUUCACCUUUGGUUGCUUGACACGGCUUCCCAGAAUUAAACAGCCUAACCUUUUGGCUUAGUAUGGCUUUGGGAAAUUCCCUGGAGUUUCUCAAAGGACAUGUUAAAAUACAUCAAAAUUAACUGGUUUAUUUAAAAGAUACUGUCAGUACUAAAGGUGUUUUUGGUGCAUGUUCCAGGUAUGGGUUGGCUCCAUUCAAUUUUGUCAUUAAUCUUCCUUGUUAGUGAUGUGUGCAUGGACCCAUUGUGGCUGUGGUCAUGCUCUUGUACCUGUGGAAUGAAGCUAUUAUGUUAGGUUUCUAUUUACAUUCCCCUAGGGAGAUGGUGGGUCCGAGUGCAGUAAUGUUUAUAACUAAUUGAUCAUCAACCAGUUACAGAUUUCUUUGUUUUUCCCCACUCCCAUAGUUACACUUGAUUUACCAAGAACAUGUUGUUUCCCUAGUAAUAAUAAGAAUGAUAUAUUGCGUUUUUGUUAGUUUGAGUAGGAUCAUUUAACUUUUCACUUUGUUCCUUGUACUGUUCCCAGAGUCAAUUGGUAAAAAAAUUAGAAAGUUUUACUAUAAAGAUGAAUAGCUAAAAUAAUAAAAAUAUUAAAAAGUUUUUGAUAUUAAUAGAUUAUGUUUAGAUUAGUUUAUAGUAUAAUUGUUUUUAAUAGUAGUAUAAAAUAUAAU